UACGAAGGGGGCUAGCGUUGCUCGGAAUCACUGGGCGUAAAGCGCACGUAGGCGGAUUGCUAAGUCAGGGGUGAAAUCCUGGAGCUCAACUCCAGAACUGCCUUUGAUACUGGCGAUCUCGAGUCCGGGAGAGGUGAGUGGAACUGCGAGUGUAGAGGUGAAAUUCGUAGAUAUUCGCAAGAACACCAGUGGCGAAGGCGGCAUCCUGGACCGACACUGACGCUGAGGCGCGAAAGCUAGGGGAGCAAACGGG
rnacentral:rRNA from 1 species